CGGAUGAUCUCAACUGCGUCAUAGCUUUCCAUCGCUGGCAUUGUGUUGUUGAUCGAAUUCAUUUUAUCUUUAUGAAUGGAAAGAAAACCAAAGCUUAUAAUGAUGAUUGUAGUGUGGAGAUUUCCUGGGCCCUACCUUUCCUCUGUCCACAACCAGGAUUCUGCUGUGAUGCCUUCCUUGGAAAACAGGUCCUAUGGGAGAUCUCAUUCCUUUAUCUUUGGAACCUUCUAGAAGCUGUCACUCUCCUUUGCUCAUGGCCUCUUCUUUCAUCUAGCUGAGGUUCUUUCUCAUCACCACCUAUCUGAUGUCAUCUUCAACUUCAAAGGACCUUUGUGACUAUGAUGGACUGACCCAAAUGGACAUGGAUUUAUUUUCUCAUCAUAAAACCGUGUGACUGGAUUCUUCAAACUCUGCCUAAUAUUUGGCUAUGGGUCUCUGCAUCUGUUUCUAUCAGUUGCUAGAUGAAGCCUCUUUGAUGACAUUUUGAUUAAGCACCAAUCUCCUCAAUCUUCCUGUGAAGUGGAGAAGGAUACCUCCUGAUCCUCUUGCCUACACUUCCCGAGGCCUGGAGUUGCAGACAGAGACUACUAUAGAAAGCCACAUGCAAUCAAGAUGUAGUAUUGUGGAGCAGAGUUCCAACGAAUAGACACAUUUAGAAAAUAUUCCUGUGUGGUGAUAUUUUAUUUGUGCUGAAAUGUGGUGAUAUUUUAUUUGUGCAUUAAUAAAUAAAGCUUGCCUGGAGAUCAGGGGGGAAAGGCCAGCCAUUUUAAAUAAACAAAGAAGUCAGGCAGCACACACAUUAAUCCCUUAGCAGGCAGGAUCUCUGUGUGUUCAAGGCCAUUCUAGGGAACAGAGCCAAGUGUGGUGACACAGGCCUUUAUCCCAGUACCAACCAUAGAGACUGGGAGGUCUAUUCAGACAGACAGACAGUGAGAGAGCUGUGAAGGAAGAGGAAAUGAUGUAGCUGGGCUAAGAGCCAGUGAGAGGGCAGAAAGGCAAGGCAUAUAAGCUUGGGUAGACAGGAAGUCACUCUCUCCUUGGAAGCUGCGGAGUUGGUGAGGUUAGCUGGUGGCUUUCCGUAUUUCCCUGAUC